UGGAAUGACUGAGACUUCUUGUGUGAUAAGCAUCAUGGAUGAGAGUGACAAUUCAUCUGGUCAUGUUGGGUCUCCCAAUUCUGCUUGUGGUUGGUGUUGACUUUUGCUUGGGAAUAUAUUAAAUCUCUUAGUGCACUGUUAGUUUGUAUAGUAUAAUUAAUUAUUUAGUCUUCUGCAUGUGCUGGCAUAUCAAAUUAUGGCAAUGAUAAAAAAUAGUAGUAAACAUGUAAAUGUAGUUUUGCUGGUAUAUGAAUUUCUACACCUAGACUGAUAAAUAACCGUGUUCUUUGACGAUGAAUAACUAGGGGGAAUAUGCCUGGCGCUUGGACUCGCCUAUUUUCCAUGAUGUUUGUAGAUUUCUCACUAAUCUGUUGUGUAAAAGUGUCAUACCUUUCUGAGUAUUCUUAUCAAUCACAAGUUUUUAGGGUAAAGUGAGUAAGCAAUUAUAAAUGUAGUUAAGGGCAUAAAGAAAGGGAGCUGCCUAUGGAGCAAAAGGAAAGCAAGUGUAAUUGGAGAUUGCUUACAAUUGAACUAUACUUUACUGACUGAAACCUAGCGUGGAUUAAAAAAAAAUGACCUCUUGAUUGAGGAGAGUUAAAAUGACCUAGAACACUGGGGAAGGGAAAGGCUUUAUCAGAACCUUUAACAGAAGAAUUGAUGAUGGCUUAUGUAAACAUCAAUUCUUCUGAUAAUUUUUUGAGGUAAGUAUAGGACCAUUUGAUUUUGAGUAGACUUGGGAGUAGGAUUUGUGAGACUGACAAUGAGCAGUCACUAGUCAUUCUGAAGCUGAAGGCUUUGUUGAUUCAUUUGUCCCAGUGAACAAUUUGCAUACUUGUUGAGCUUUGAAUUGUGAUUAUUCUGUCAAGUAUUUUUAGAGUAAACAACUGUUAGGCCUUGGCUCUGGCCCUUUCUUUUCACUCCAUGUCUAAUGGAUAUAAUAACGAGUUAAACAGCUUUAAGUCUUCCAUAUUAUAAUUACAUAUUAGUUGCAGAAUACCUCUUGAACCAUGAAUAUUCAUGGUCAGUUACUCGUCAAAUAUGGAAUAUAUUAAUAAGAUAGUUGAGUUUGGUUUUUAAGUGCUUUCUAUUGUGUGUGCCUUGUUUCUGGGAGUCUCGACAUGAUAGUUUAGAUCUAUGUUUUCCUAUCUCAGAAAUAAAGCUAAUAGAUGUUCCUGAAAUGAACUACACCUCUGAGGAUCAGCCAUAUCCACGUGGAGAAAUCUGUGUUAGGGGUCCCACCAUCUUCCAUGGCUACUACAAAGAUGUUGUCCAAACGAGAGAAGCAUUGGAUGAUGAUGGUUGGCUGCAUACUGGAGAC
rnacentral:misc_RNA from 1 species